rnacentral:rRNA from 1 species
GGGGAAUAUUGCGCAAUGGGGGCGACCCUGACGCAGCCAUGCCGCGUGAAUGAAGAAGGCCCUCGGGUUGUAAAGUUCUUUCGGUAGCGAGGAAGGCACUUAGUUUAAUAAACUAGGUGAUUGACGUUAACUACAGAAGAAGCACCGGCUAACUCCGUGCCAGCAGCCGCGGUAAUACGGAGGGUGCGAGCGUUAAUCGGAAUAACUGGGCGUAAAGGGCACGCAGGCGGUGACUUAAGUGAGGUGUGAAAGCCCCGGGCUUAACCUGGGAAUUGCAUUUCAUACUGGGUCGCUAGAGUACUUUAGGGAGGGGUAGAAUUCCACGUGUAGCGGUGAAAUGCGUAGAGAUGUGGAGGAAUACCGAAGGCGAAGGCAGCCCCUUGGGAAUGUACUGACGCUCAUGUGCGAAAGCGUGGGGAGCAAACAGGAUUAGAUACCCUGGUAGUCCACGCUGUAAACGAUGUCGAUUUGGGGGUUGAACUUUAGGUUUGGCGCCCGUAGCUAACGUGAUAAAUCGACCGCCUGGGGAGUACGGCCGCAAGGUUA